rfam:Mus musculus chromosome 3, GRC primary reference assembly.
UUAAGGGCCACGGGCAGUGUGGCCUGUGUCUAACCCUGCUUUGCUUUAGCUGUGGAUUCUGUUCUUUUGUCCUCCGCACGCUGUUUUUCUCGCUGACUUCCAGUGUCCCAGGAAAGUCCAGACCUGCAACGGGCCACCGCGCGGUCCGGUCCCGUGCCUCAAGAAACGUCAGCGCGCGCAGGCGCUCCAGGUUUGCCCGGAGCCCGCGGCGCCCGGGCGCCCCGCCCGGUGCCCGCCUGGGGUCUUAGGACUCCGCUGCCACCGGGAAGAGCUUGGCUCUGUCAGCCGCGGGGCGCCGGGGCCUGGGGCCAGGCCGGGCGGGCGAGUGCCGCGAGGACAGGAACAGAACUGGUCCCCGCAUUCGGUGGCUCUCCUGAGCUGCGGGAAGUGCACCGGGACCCCGGCUCUCUCAACC